CCGCGGUGGCCUCGCCCUCUACCUCUUCACCGUCUUCGUACGGGUCCCUGCGCAGGUGAUUAGUCGCUCUGUCUCGUCCUUUCAUCUCUCUCUCUCUCUCUCUAUAUAUAUAUAUAUAUAUAUAUAUAUAUUAAUAUACUUGAGACUUGAGAGGAACACUUACCUAUUCUUUUCAAGAGAGGAGCCGUCACAAUCUGACCAGUACUCCUACCUAUUUGAGGGCCAUAUGAUCUUAUAAUAUACUAGUAUCUCAUAACCAAUCCAUGAGGUAUUUUCGUUGCUACUCUAUGCUACCAUCGACAUGCAUUUCUUCGAUAUUGGACAACUUUGUUACAACGGGCAGCUAUAGCAAGUGGUGCCAAAAUGCCAAAAUCUGAACAUGACACUAGUAUUUGACCACAUUAUGGAUGCCCUAAGCUAAUACGUAGUACUAUAUUUUUCGCUUUUAUGUUAUGGGCACACGUGGAUACAUAUAAUAUUAAAGAACAGAAAAGCUUUUUUUUUUUGAGAAUUUUUCAUUCAUAUCACGAAUCAGUACAAAGUAGUUUGACCCUUACAAACACACUGAAAUGCAAACACAAAGGACCAUGAACACCUAGAGUAUCUUAAGACAACCAUAACACAAGAUCUCCGGAGCCUAGUGUCAUCAUCCCUGAAUCUUGAGAGAAGACCCCUGCACCAAAAGGAUCUGCAACCAGUCGCAAACAGGUCAUCAUCUUCGACCAUGGUACAAUUGCCGCCACGCUGCUUCCUCCUUUCUUGACACCAACGCUGAGGGGGCAUGGGCAUCAAUCCAACACACCUGCAACAGCCGUCGCCAUCUUUGGCUUUGAGUACUGCAAAAAGUGUCCCUUCCGAAAGGAAGAGAACUCGAGUCAUCCGACCGGUCUAGCACCGCGGCCGGGCUAUCCGCCCGGGCAAAGCAGGAUCUCCCACCAGCAUCAGCGCAGAGGAAGAAGAAGAACAGCAGUAGCAAAUCAUACCAACAAGGAAGAAGAAAGGUCUUCGUCUCGCUGCAUCCAUCGCCCAUCUGAGGACCCAAACGGCCAGUGCCGAUGGACCUCCAGCCACCAUAGCCCGCGACCUCGACGAGAUCCGGGGAUCCCCAACCCCGCUGGCUCCUAGACACAGGCAAAAGCCUCGCCUGACCGCGAACGGAGCCCGGAGAAACUUAUUCCGACGCGACACCACCGCAACAGCCUCGGCAGCGUCUCCCUCAACCCUAACCCUACCACACACCCACCUAGCGAACAGACCCGAGGUUCCCCUCCCUCCCGCCGCCGGAGCGGCCGACGGAGAGAGAGGGAACCGACGGCGUCACCGGCGGCGCGCAAGGGAAACCUGGUCGCCUCCUUGAUCGCCUCGUGCGAUCCUAUAAUCGUGGGUCCCUUUCUGGCAACUGUGUUAAGUUUUUACUAAAGGAUAAAGAACAGAAAGGCUUUGUAGGUAAUUGUGUGGGCAAAAUCUGUGGGCAUGUGGCAUAAUGCAGUACUAUUAAUCUGUGGUCAAUUUUGUCACUUCAGAUGUGAUAUAGAUUGAUAGCGUAACAUAACAUCUGUGUUGGCAUUGGCAUGUAGAUGAUUUCUAGAGAUUCUACAAGAGACAGCAUAUAUCAUGUGUUACGAAACUUUCUGUUUUUGUUCAAAUGAUGAAAUCGGUGGGAAGGGAGAGAUGAACCAUCAGAUCUAUUUAAUUCAUGUUGAACAAUAGAUGUUUCAUACUCUCUCUGUUGCAAGAAAGAUGUUUCAUGCUUUUAUUUGAUCCGCAAACCGUAGAACAAUAGUUCUACGGUAUAUUUUUCAUAUAUUAUCUAUAGUAUGUUACAAGGGGAAAGGACAAAAAAGAAAGGCCUGAGAGGCCAAAACAGAGUUAGGGGCUAGCCAAUGCCUGCUCUUGGAAAAAAAAACAUGAUUUACAGGUUGCUAUCUAUCCACCAGUGAAAGGCAUGAACAUGCUUCUCUUUUAUUUUGAAUUGCAACAACUUGAGAUCUUGCUUGAUGUAAUAUCUCCAGGCCUGAAGAUAUUUUUGGAGAUGUUUCAUACUUUUGGAGGGGAAAGAUACUUCUUUCCUUUUUUGAAAAAUGAUCAUUUUUCUCUUUGGCUGAUCUGCCUGUUUCGUGUAGCCAUGUUGAUUUAUGGAUCUGCACGUCUGUCUAACAUUUGACGUUGUUUGGUUAUCAGGUGAUUGGGGCGGUUAUUGGAGUGAUGCUCAUGCGAUUCGCAUUCCCUAAAGUAGGUAAAGGAGCUGCGUUAAGUGUCGGUGUUCAUCAUGGGGCUUUAACUGAAGGACUGGCAACCUUAAUGGUCGUGAUGGUGUCAUUGACACUUAAAAAGAAAGAACAGGGGUUCUUUGUGAAGACAUGGAUUGCCAGCAUUUGGAAAAUGACGAUUCAUAUCCUUAGCUCAGAUAUGACUGGAGGAAUUAUGAACCCUGCAUCUGUAAGUGUUAUCUACACCUAAUGUCAUGAGACUGUUGUAGAAAUUAACCUCUUGAACUUGAACUACAACACAUGUGCAUAACUUCGAAUCUAAUACAAAUCAUCGAAAUAGUAUGCAUACACAUAUAUGGCAGCACUAAUUUUGUUCUGGUUGCCAGUACAUUUCUGCUAGCCAGCACUCCAUAAUAUUAUGUUCCGCUGCAAUGUGUGGUGAUCAGUUGAUAUGUGAAAUGUUCAUAUCAUCCAAGUGUGCCAUGGUGAUAUCAAACUUUGGCCAUAAAAUCAAACAGUUUGUAAGUUGUCUAAAUGGUUUUACAUGCAUACAUUUUUCUUGUCAUCUCAAAGAUGUUGCAUUGAUGCUUUCAAAUACUUCAAAAAGGUCAUGGUAUAUCACACCAACUAACAGUUUGACAGAUGUCCACUGCUAGCAAAUACUCCGUCCGUUCCAGAAUAUAAGGUGUAUUGAUUUCCGUGCAAGUCAACCAUUUGAAUAUUUGACCAAAAUAACAAUAUCCGCAAUUCCUAAUAGAUAAAAUAUGAAACUACUCCCUCCGUCCCAUAAUAUAAGAACUGUUUCAGUUUGAAAAACGUUCUUAUAUUAUGGGACGGAGGGAGUACUUUUUAUGAUGGAUCAAGUGAUAUAUAUUUCGUAUUGUGAAUGUUGACAUAUUUUUCUUAAAAUACAGUCAAACUUGCACUCAUUUGACUUUUGAAAAAACAAAUACACCUUAUAUAAAGGAACGGAGGGAGUAGCUAUCGAACUUAGUGAUAAACCAUGAAUGCGUUUUUACUCACAGUAGAGUAACACCUGACAUGCAUUUUUAGCUUGCUACAUCUAAUUCUUGUGAUUGAACUUCAGUUAUCUAAUGAUUCACUUGUGUUAUAUUCUGCAGGCCUUUGCUUGGGCCUAUGCUCGUGGAGAUCACACAUCAUUUGACCACCUACUGGUAUAUUGGCUCGCACCCCUCCAAGCAACCCUUGUAGGAGUAUGGGUGGUUACCUUCUUAACUAAACCCAAGAAUACCAAGGAGCAAGCAGCAGAUAAAAACAAGAACAAAAAGGAAUAAACUUCAGGAAGUGAGCCAUCGCCUGGUUGGGGAGUGGAUGUACAUACAGUACCAGCGCCUGGGUUGAAGUCCCCAUGGGCUUGAAUUUAGGUUCUAUUUGGCUUUCCUUCAAGUAUUCCUUCAAAGAAAGAAGGAUCAUUGUUAUUGUGGGAGUGGUGUCCACCAUUUUUUCUGGAGCAAGAACUCCAGAUCAUAUUAUUAUCAUUAAUUAUUCUAAAAUGUUCAUCGCCUUACCUCCGUCCCAAAUUACUUGACUUUUUAGUGUUGGAUACAUCCGUAUCUAGACAAAUCUAAGACGAGUAAUUUGAGACGGAGGGAGUAGUAUUUUUUUUAUGUGUGCUAAAAUGUUCCAGGCAUAUUUUGGGAAACAGUAGGGAGGAGAUGAUACAACUCAAUCGCGAUCAAGACUGUUGAACUCAUCACCUGUCUCGCACAGACUGACAAUUGACAUUUUGUUUUCCUGCAAUUUAUCAGUGUGUCCUGCAAGUCUCAUUCUACAUAGCGAGACUGGAAAUGCAGUGUGGUCUAGGUCCUCUAGUUCCUAGAAAACCAAUCAGUUUAGGAUAUCGUUGGCAAUAUACCAUAAGUUAAUACUCCUACAUGAGUGGUGAAUGCACACGAAUAACAAAACAUUCAGCACAUAUGAUGGAGCUAACAGCCUAACAAUGACAGCUGUUUCAACACCUAUACAGCUAUAAAACUGCUACUCCCUCAAUUCACUUUUGUAAGUCAUUCAGACAGCUAAAAAUGGGCUGUUUUGUACAUUAUCUGAAUUGUCUUCAAAGUCUUAUAAAAGUGAAUGGAGGGAGUAGUUUUCUUUAAAUUGCAUCGGUUGGUUAUCAGCAGAAACUCUCAAAAUUAAAACUGAUGGAUGUCAGUAUAGAAAAUCUGGUUGGGCCAGUGAUGAUGUUGGCAACUGACUACCUUUUGUAGUAUUGUCGCUGCAGUUCAGCCAUCCUGCUAUCAAACAAUUACUAACCUGAAAAUUCGACCAUGUUCUCCUUUUUCAGUCUAAUAAUUAUUAAGUGCCCACACACACAUCCAAUUCUGGAAGAUUCGUUUGAAGUAUUUCAUGUUAUAUCCCGUCUAUUCCCUCCGUCCCAACAUAAGUGUCUUAAGCUUAAUACAACGUACAAAGUUGAGGCACUUAUUUUGAGACAAAGGGAGUAUUACAUACUCCCCCCGUUCCAAAAUAGAUGAUCCAACUUUGUACAAAGUUACUACAAAGUUGAGUCGUCUAUUAUACUCCCUCCGUCCGGAAAUACUUGUUGGAGAAAUGGAUGAAAAUGGAUGUAUCUAAAACUAAAUUGCGUCUAGAUACAUUCAUUCCUCCGACAAGUAUUUUGGGACGGAGGGAGUAGAACGGAGGGAGUACUAAUUUAUGCAGUAGUACUCCUAUACCAUCCAAUUGGUUCAUUUGGGUUGAAUAAUCCAUAUCCAUAUGUAUUUAUACAACGGUUUUGCUAUAUGAUGUUCGUCUAAAAAUAUUGUACUCCCUCCGUUCUGAAUUAAUUGUCUUAGAUUUGUCUAGAUACGGAUGUAUCUAGACUCAUUUUAGUGCUAGAUACAUCCGUAUCUAGACAAAUCUAAGACAAGUAAUUCGGAACAGAGGGAGUACAUAUGAUUUUCUUCAUGCAGGGUUAAGAAAGAAAGAACUGGAAUUACUAGUUCCUGUAUUUAUUUGUGUUUCUUUAGUUAACCAGCUCCUUUGUGAAUUUGUACUUAGAACUUGGAGCUGGAGUUUAACGCCGGAAUAGCAGACAAGAAUUCCCCGCUCCAAAUGGGGCUGCAAGGGAAGGUGUAAUGGACCCGUUCUUGUGGUCCAGGUCCAUGUGCUAUGUUUUCUGUCUGUGUACAGGGAGGGCAUGCGGCCCCUUCAAAGGUGUUUAACGUCAUUCUCCUUGCUGCUGGUGGCCCAAUGCAGACCCACUACGUUCGUGCUAUUAAUUUGUUCUCACAUUGCUUUUCGUUUGUACUUUUUCUUUUCUUUUCUGGUGUGAGAUUACUAUCAAGCGGUUCCAAUAAUACAACAAAUAGAAACAUAACUUGUGCACAAAUAGAAAAAUGGGAGAAGGCGCAGCUUGGUAUCAUCCUGACAUGAUCAUUAUCGUUAUUAUUAUCAUUUUACAAAAAAAAGGCAUGAUUGUUAUCUUGCACAUGCAUCUACUUGUUAUUGCCGCUGCACUUUUAUCAUCGACGCUAUUGAGUCUCCAGAUCAUGGAUCGGAUCUGUCUAUGCUGACGAAUAUGCUUUGGAUGCGACCGAGACAUGUUGCUUGACAGUUGGGGAUGACGAAGGUGCAAUUUUAAGAUGUAGUAGAAUUUGUAGAACCCAUUUUGACCGAGAUUCAUAGCAUCAUUCAAGUAAAUACAAAUUAGGAUCGUCCUCUAAUGAUUCCUCGCAAAGAAAAAACAAAGAAUCCUUAAAUGAUCGAGAAAGAAAUGGAACGUUGGAUUGUGUCAAAACGCUCGCACAUGUUUGUCCGAUCGCUGAAGCAGCUCGAACCUCCAAUUCACGGCUCGUAUAUCAUGGUCCUGAUUGGAAAUAAAAGCUGGAGUACGAUGUAUAGUGCUCCCUCCAUUCCAUAAUGUAGUGUGUCCAUGUUUCCCGAGAUUCAAGUUUAACCGUAAACUUAAUCAACAAGACCAAUUGCGACGGGAGCAAAAAUUAUAUCACUAAAUUCAUAUUGAAAAUAAGAAAUCAGUGAUAUAAUUUUGCUCCGCUGCAGUCGGUCUCAGUAGUUAAAUUUACGGUCAAAUUUGAAUCUCAGAAAGCGCAAACGCACUACAUUGUAAAAACGGAGGGAGUACAUUUUUUUUCU
rnacentral:lncRNA from 1 species